GACGAACGCUGGCGGCGCGCUUAACACAUGCAAGUCGAACGGAAAGGCCUGCUUUCCCUUGUGGAUUGCGGGUACUCGAGUGGCGAACGGGUGAGUAACACGUGAGUGAUCUGCCCCCAACUUGGGUAUAAGCCUGGGAAACUGGGUCUAAUUCCCGAUAGGACUGCAGGGUGGUGCCUGUGGUGGAAAACGAUUUUCUAGUGGUUGGGGAUGAGCUCGCGGCCUAUCAGCUUGUUGGUGGGGUAAUGGCCUACCAAGGCGGCGACGGGUAGCCGGCCUGAGAGGGUGGACGGCCACAUUGGGACUGGGAUACGGCCCAGACUCCUACGGGAGGCAGCAGUGGGGAAUAGUGCACAAUGGGCGGAAGCCUGGUGCAGCGACGCCGCGUGGGGGAUGACGGCCUUCGGGUUGUAAACUCCUUUCGACCGCGAGGAAGCCACCUGGUUGGAAGGGUGGUGACGGUAGUGGUAGAAGAAGCACCGGCUAACUACGUG
rnacentral:rRNA from 1 species